CCUACGGUGGGCAGCAGUGGGGAAUAUUGCACAAUGGGGGAAACCCUGAUGCAGCGACGCCGCGUGAGCGAUGAAGUAUUUCGGUAUGUAAAGCUCUAUCAGCAGGGAAGAAAAUGACGGUACCUGCCUACGAAGCCCCGGCUAACUACGUGCCAGCAGCCGCGGGAAUACGUAGGGGGCAAGCGGUAUCCGGGUUUACUGGGUGUAAAGGGAGCGUAGACGGCGAUGCAAGCCAGAUGUGAAAGCCCGGGGCUCAACCCCGGAACUGCAUUUGGAACUGUAUAGCUGGAGUGUCGGAGAGGCAGGCGGAAUUCCUAGUGUAGCGGUGAAAUGCGUAGAUAUUAGGAGGAACACCAGUGGCGAUGGCGGCCUGCUGGACGAUGACUGACGUUGAGGCUCGAAAGCGUGGGGAGCAAACAGGAUUAGAUACCCCAGUAGUC
rnacentral:rRNA from 1 species